rnacentral:rRNA from 1 species
CUGAAGGAACGUUAAAGACGAUGACGUUGAUAGGUCGGGUGUGUAAGCGUAGCGAUACGUUGAGCUAACCGAUACUAAUGAACCGUGAGGCUUAACCUU